CGGAACGGGUGAGUAACGCGUGAGGAACCUGCCUCAAAGAGGGGGACAACAGUUGGAAACGACUGCUAAUACCGCAUAAGCCCACGGCUCGGCAUCGAGCGGAGGGAAAAGGAGCAAUCCGCUUUGAGAUGGCCUCGCGUCCGAUUAGCUAGUUGGUGAGGUAAUGGCCCACCAAGGCGACGAUCGGUAGCCGGACUGAGAGGUUGAACGGCCACAUUGGGACUGAGACACGGCCCAG
rnacentral:rRNA from 1 species